CUACUCCUGCACCUAUUGUUUAUUGCAGCUGUGAGCUCUGGUCCAGGACUCUCCCACUAGUGGACACAUCCUCUCCACAUCCAUUCUACCCAGCCAUUCACUAUUAAGUAAGUUU